UAGUCCACGCCGUAAACGAUGUCUACUUGGAGGUUGUGGCCUUGAGCCGUGGCUUUCGGAGCUAACGCGUUAAGUAGACCGCCUGGGGAGUACGGUCGCAAGAUUAAAACUCAAAUGAAUUGACGGGGGCCCGCACAAGCGGUGGAGCAUGUGGUUUAAUUCGAUGCAACGCGAAGAACCUUACCUACUCUUGACAUCCAGAGAAGCCAGCGGAGACGCAGGUGUGCCUUCGGGAGCUCUGAGACAGGUGCUGCAUGGCUGUCGUCAGCUCGUGUUGUGAAAUGUUGGGUUAAGUCCCGCAACGAGCGCAACCCUUAUCCUUGUUUGCCAGCGCGUAAUGGCGGGGACUCUAGCGAGACUGCCGGUGUCAAACCGGAGGAAGGUGGGGACGACGUCAAGUCAUCAUGGCCCUUAUGGCUAGGGCUACACACGUGCUACAAUGGCCGGUACAGAGGGUUCCGAUAUCGCAAGAUGGAGGCAAUCUCAGAAAGCCGGCUC
rnacentral:rRNA from 1 species